rnacentral:tRNA from 1 species
AGCAUGGCCGAGCGGUCUAAGGCGCUGGUUUAAGGCACCUGUCUCUUCGGAGGCGUGAGUUCGAAUUCCAUGAGUGCUA